GGCUCCUGUCAACUUGCCCUCCUCUUUCUCAGCUGCCCACAGCGUGAUCUAUUGAUGCGCAGUUCUCGAGUCUGUUCUGAGAAGGUCAGGAAGAGCAGCGAUAGCAUCGGCUGCCCCACGGACGAGGAAGGCACUGUGGCAGACAGUGAGCGGCCUCCACGCGAGACCCCGACCCUGCGCCUUCUCAUGCACAGACUGCUUUCCUGUCUUUCUUCUGUCUGGUUUAACCUCCCACUCCCACAGAGGGCUUCUUUCAGGAAGAAGGUCUCUUUAUUUCUACAUAAAUUCUUGGCUGCAGUGGCGCGGCUCAGCUAAGCUUCCCCCAGCAGCGUUCAUGCUCCAAGUUGGAUGGACAAUUCCUGUCUUACCAACGCCGGGCAGCAGUAAGUGAACAAACCGUUCUCUAGUACGAACACUCGGCGGGACAGUUUCCUGUAACACGCACUACUAGUCUCAUGUAAAAGAGCUAAAUUCUCUUUUUAUUUAAGGAGGUUAAUAAAUGAGAUCUAAAAUUGAAAUACCA
rnacentral:lncRNA from 1 species